rnacentral:rRNA from 1 species
UACGGGGGGGGCAAGCGUUGUUCGGAAUUACUGGGCGUAAAGGGCUCGUAGGCGGCCAACUAAGUCAGACGUGAAAUCCCUCGGCUUAACCGGGGAACUGCGUCUGAUACUGGAUGGCUCGAGUUUGGGAGAGGGAUGCGGAAUUCCAGGUGUAGCGGUGAAAUGCGUAGAUAUCUGGAGGAGCACCGGUGGCGAAGGCGGCAUCCUGGACCAACACUGACGCUGAUGAGCGAAAGCCAGGGAGCAAACGGG